GGUUCGAAUCCUCCCGGAUGCACCAUAUUCUCCUUAAUAACAGCGACGACGUUGUUUUAUGGUCUGCGAAAUCAUCGCCAGCACCAGGGGGAUAACGUUGCGUAAGCAACGGCCCGAAGGGCGAGGCGUAGCCGAGUCAUCCUCCCGGAUGCACCA
rnacentral:sRNA from 1 species